AUGCUUUCCUUCGAGAUCUGUUUUUGGCUUUUUACAAGAGGAACGAAACUAGACUUCUGUGAUUCAUAUAGACAUGUGAAUUGCUCUUAUGAAUCAUAUAGACGCCUAAAUAGCAAAAUCAAUAGUGAUGCUGGUGUACAUGCUUCUGAUGAUGUGCUAGGCACUUCUCCUCUUUCUUUAUUUUGUAACAACAAUCUGUGUGAGCUAGUAUUAUGGAAUCAUUUUGCAGAGAUAGCUACUAAUCAACUAAAUAUGAUUAUUAUGUUAGCCUUUUGCUGGAGAGGCUGCUCCGACUGUUAUGGGAAUGAAUUAUUGAUGAUCAUGUGUAUGUAUAAAUAUAAUACAUUUCAUGUUAGCCUUUUGCCUUUAACUUUCUCCUCUCGACACUUUGUGUUGUCUAUGGGUUUGGAUUUGCCAAUCCAUAACUGUCAAUGGCAUUGA
rnacentral:rRNA from 1 species